AGCGAACGCUGGCGGCAGGCCUAACACAUGCAAGUCGAGCGCCCCGCAAGGGGAGCGGCAGACGGGAGAGUAACACGUGGGAACGUGCCCUUUGGUUCGGAACAACCCAGGGAAACUUGGGCUAAUACCGGAUAAGCCCUUACGGGGAAAGAUUUAUCGCCGAAGGAUCGGCCCGCGUCUGAUUAGCUAGUUGGUGGGGUAAGGGCCCACCAAGGCGACGAUCAGUAGCUGGUCUGAGAGGAUGAUCAGCCUCACUGGGACUGAGACACGGCCCAGAGUCCUACGGGAGGCAGCAGUGGGGGAUAUUGGACAAUGGGCGCAAGCCUGAUCCAGCCAUGCCGCGUGGGUGAUGAAGGCCCUAGGGUUGUAAAGCCCUUUCGGCGGGGAAGAUAAUGACGGUACCCGCAGAAGAAGCCCCGGCUAACUUCGUGCCAGCCGCCGCCGUAAAAC
rnacentral:rRNA from 1 species